rnacentral:rRNA from 1 species
CGGGGUGAGUAAUGUCUGGGAAACUGCCUGAUGGAGGGGGAUAACUACUGGAAACGGUAGCUAAUACCGCAUAAUGUCGCAAGACCAAAGAGGGGGACCUUAGGGCCUCUUGCCAUCGGAUGUGCCCAGAUGGGAUUAGCUAGUAGGUGGGGUAAAGGCUCACCUAGGCGACGAUCCCUAGCUGGUCUGAGAGGAUGACCAGCCACACUGGAACUGAGACACGGUCCAG